CUAUGAGGCAGAUCUUUCUCGACUGAGCCCAGAUACGGAAACCAAAAAAAAAAAAAAACCCUGGUGCAGCUCAUGAAUGAGGAUGUUACUGGAAGCUCUGCAAUCUUGUCCUGCUCUUUCAGUUACAAAAAACUGAAGACAAAACACGAUAAUGUAUUAAGACUCAAUGAUGGCAGAAAUAUAUAAAACAUCAUUAAGAGAAAAUGAUUCACUUGAGGAUCAAAAAUACAACAUUUCCCAGAGAAGUUUACGGAAGGAAGCUUCACUUUCACACUCAUCUGCAGCUUCAUCUGUGUAUUUGCAGUGCUGAUAAAUAAAGUGUGUCUGCAGGUCACAGUAGAGGGUUUCAUCGGUGGUUCUGUUGUCCUGCCGUGUUCUUCAGAUGAUCAUGAUCAUAAACUUCAAGAGGUUGAUGUGAGCUGGAGACACAAUGGCAGCAAAAAUGUGUGUGAUUUAAUUCCACACAGUAAUUCACUAGAGACACAGGACCCACGAUACAAGAACAGAGCUGAAACUUUCCCUCAGGAGUAUGAACGAAGAAACUUCUCCAUCAAACUCUCUGGUCUCACUCACGCUGAUGCAGGAAAAUACAUCUGCCUCAUCACACCCUCAGAUGAACAGGGGACUGUAGAGCUGAUCAUCAACGACUUUUUUGUUGCAGAACCAACAACAGAAAAAGGAAAUGAAACCAUUGAUCAAGAAAUCCAAGAAGAAACCAGACCAGACAGUGUCGAGAAAUCAUGGCUUUGGAUCCUGGUUGGCACUCUGUUAACCAUAAUACUGGUUAUACUAAUCAUUGUAAUUAUCUUUAGAAAAAAGAUCUCAAGCUGCCUUAAGUCAGGUGAACGCGGCGUGGGUUCAGACACUCUUGAGGUUGUGAGCCCUGGCUCACGUUAUAAAUCAGUAACUGCUGAUGAUCGUGAUGAAGCAGCUAAAGCAGGUGAAUGACACAGAUGUGCAGCUUGGCACUCCGGCAGCAACUGCAUGAGCUUUCGCCUUAAACAAGGAGUCAGAGGAGGAAAUAGAUGCUUUCAUUGUUGCUGCCGCAGUGAGGAUGUUACUACACAAUUUAAGGCUACCUAGCAGUCUAGAGUGACUUGGUCAUAUAUGAUUUUGGGCAAAUUCAAGCAGAAUCCCCAAAAUGUUUUUAAAUUAUUGUAAGCUCGCAAGGCACUCCGCUCAUCACUAAGUCACUAGGGAGAGCCUAUAAUAAUUGCUUUACAGCUGCUGGGAUGGAUUUUGUUGGGAAACUGAAUACUGAACCAUUAUUUUUCUGUGUGUUUUUCAUAUCUGUAAAUUACGGCAAGAAGGUCAGGCGAUCACAAUAUGCAAUUGACAAUGCUAUAGUACCUUGAAGCCACAACAAAUGAACCUUGAACCGAAAAAAGUUUUCAAACAAAACGACAGUACCCAUAGUAAAACACAAAUCUAUGUUGUUUGGCUUUCUAGAAAUAUGCUUCAUUUGCAUAACAUCACAUUUGCUGUUCAUUGACAAGGUUCGUAAAUCAAUGUUUAUGUUGGUAACAUUUCCAGUCUAUGCUACGCUGAUCUUCUUGCCUUUAAAUAGCCUACUGUGUUAAGUCAAAACAACAGUGGUACUGGUACUUACCCGGUCAUGACUUUUUUUUUUUUGUAAUAUUUGUCUUUCAUUCGUUAUUUAUUUAUUGAUUUAUUUGAUUUUAGGAGUGUUUGAUGUUUUGAUGUCAUUAGUGUCAUUCGCACUGAUAAAGGAUCACCUGUAACCAAGGGCUCAAUAUUUAGGCUCUUUUCCCCACAUUAAAAAAAAUAAAUAAAAUCAUGCAUUGGUAAAUAAUAAUUAUGAGAUAAAAAGUU